ACCCGAGCCGACGCCUUCUCCUCCGAGCCCUAACCGCCACUCGGCGGUUCCCUCCUCCUCUCCCACGCGUGAAUAAGCCCCGGACCAAGGGAAGUCGGCACUGCCUUUCUCCCUUCUGCCCUGGCCGAAUUCCUUCCAUCGCCGGCAGCCGAGUUUCUCUCACCAGCCGCCGAACUUGCGUGCCCUAGAUCCACAGCCGACCACAACUCACAGAGCCAACAUCGCCACUCCUCCACAGCCCUGCCGAUGUCACUGCCCUCUCUGGACCGGAGUAGCGUCGCCUGUGCCCUAGCGCUGCCGCUAUCGAGACUCCUUGGCCGAGUUUCCUCUGUGCCCUAGCCAGCCCGACUCCAUUGCGGACUCCUCCUCCCCUUUUGGGCUCGCGACACCGCUGAUCCCUUGCCGCUGCCCUAGCGCUGAUGCCUCAUCCGAGCCUCCAAUUGGCUGUGCUCUAGAUCCCUCCAGCCGGCUACCGCCGAUCCAACUCGAGUCUACAUUCUGCAGGUUCGAACAAGGGCAUGUGGUGGUGCCCUAGACCUCUAUCUUUGCACUGACUUAGGGUUUCGGCUGUGGGCUGAUAGAAGAGCAUCCCAGCCACUGCUGCUUGCUACCAUCGUCGGAGAAGAAGGACAGUGGACAGUGGUGUGAAGUUGUUGGAUUUCCGACCACCCCAGCACUGAAUGCCUGGUUGUUUUCUUGAUUUCCAUCUUGAUCUGAUUAGUGACUUUGACGCGAGACGAGUAUCUAGGAGUCAGAUUGGACCAUUUCGAUUGGAGG